GCUGGCGGUGCGCCUUAUGCAUGCAAGUCGAGCGAAGCUUUUCAGUAGUUUACUACAGAAAAUGACUGAGCGGCGAACGGGUGAGUAACGCGUGAGCAAUCUACCUUAGUUACAGGGAUAGCCCGAGGAAACUCGGAUUAAUACCUGAUAUUCUUUUUAUCUCGCAUGAGAUUUUAAGGAAAGGUCAGCCGAACUAAGAUGAGCUCGCGUUCUAUCAGCUAGUUGGUGAGGUAAUAGCUCACCAAGGCUACGACGGAUAGCUGGUCUGAGAGGACGAUCAGCCACACUGGGACUGAGACACGGCCCAGACUCCUACGGGAGGCUGCAGCAGGGAAUAUUGCGCAAUGAGCGAAAGCUUGACGCAGCGACACCGCGUGUGGGAUGACGGAUCUAGGUUUGUAAACCACUUUCAGGAGGGAAGAAAAUGACGGUACCUCCACAAGAAGCCCCGGCCAACUACGUGCCAGCAGCCGCGGUAAUACGUAGGGGGCGAGCGUUGUCCGGAUUUAUUGGGCGUAAAGAGCUCGUAGGCGGUUCAACAAGUCGGUCGUGAAAGUUCAGGGCUCAACCCUGAAAUGUCGAUCGAUAC
rnacentral:rRNA from 1 species